UUUAAUGGCCGCAGUAAUUAUCAAUAGUUUUUUAAUUAAAAGCUUGAAUGAAUGGUUGGACGAAAUAAAAUCUGUCUUUAUUUAAUUUAAAUUAGAAUUUAAUUUUUAAGUUAAAAAGCUUAAAUUUUAUUAAAAGACGAGAAGACCCUAUAGAUCUUUAUUUUAAUAAUUAUUUAUUUAAUUAAGAUUUAUUUAUUUUAAAUUUAUAUUAAAAUUUUAUUGGGGUAAUAAAAAGAUUAAUAUAAUUCUUUUUAAUGUUAUUUAUAUAUAAAUAUAAUUUGUGAUCCAUUAAUAUUGAUUAUAAGAUUAAGUUACCUUAGGGAUAACAGCGUAAUUUUUUUAGAGAGUUCAUAUUGAUAAAAAAGUUUGCGACCUCGAUGUUGGAUUAAAGAUUAAUUUAGGUGUAGAAGUUUAAAUUUUUGGUCUGUUCGACCAUUAAAUCUUUACAUGAUCUGAGUUUAGACCGGCGUAAGCCAGGUCGGUUUCUAUCUUUAUUAAAUUAUAAUAUUUUAGUACGAAAGGACCAAAUAUUAAUUAAAUUAAUUUUUAUUUUGAUUAUUAUUAUUAUUUUGGCAGAUUAGUGCGAUGAAUUUAGAAUUCUUUUAUGUAAUAUUUACAAAUAAUACUUGUUUUCUUUUGAUAUUAUUUUUAUAUUUGUUAGAAUAAUUUUAUUAGUUAUUUGUGUUUUAAUUGGGGUAGCUUUUUUGACUUUAUUAGAGCGUAA
rnacentral:rRNA from 1 species